UACGUAGGGUGCGAGCGUUAAUCGGAAUUACUGGGCGUAAAGCGUGCGCAGGCGGUUUCGUAAGACAGAUGUGAAAUCCCCGGGCUUAACCUGGGAACUGCAUUUGUGACUGGCGGGCUAGAGUAUGGCAGAGGGGGGUAGAAUUCCACGUGUAGCAGUGAAAUGCGUAGAGAUGUGGGGGAAUACCGAUGGCGAAGGCAAUCCCCUGGGCCUGCACUGACGCUCAUGCACGAAAGCGUGGGGAGCAAACAGG
rnacentral:rRNA from 1 species